CCUGCUUUAUGUCUACGCUAGCGAGAGAAACAAAACAAACAUUCUAUCUUGCUAUCCACCCUUCUAGAGAGAGAGAGAGAUUCUAGAGAGAGACAGAGUCAAGAUGAUUGAGGUGGUGUUGAACGAUCGUCUUGGAAAGAAGGUGCGCGUAAAGUGCAACGAUGACGACACAAUUGGUGAUUUGAAGAAGCUUGUUGCUGCUCAGACUGGGACUCGUGCCGAGAAGAUUCGUAUUCAGAAGUGGUACAAUAUUUACAAGGAUCAUAUCACUCUUCGUGAUUAUGAGAUUCAUGAUGGCAUGGGUCUCGAGCUUUACUACAAUUAGGCCUGCCCAUCUUGUCGAUUGGGGAGGGGGGUUGUUUAUUUUUAUGUUUUUGGAAGGGAUGCCUUUGUGUUCUAUCGUAAGGUUUGGAGGUCCAACGCUACAUAAUGGCAGUCUGUUGACAGGUAAAGGCAGGGUGGCUCUUCUUGGCUAUUGAUGUGUUACUUGAUGAUCUCUAUGUUAUAUAUGUAUUGGUGCAGAUAAAAACUUUAUUUUACAAGGGCUUGUGAUGUUAACGUGGUUAUGUAUCCUGCUUUAAUAAGAAUUUGUCUCUUUAAACAUAAACUUGUGUUUACAUCUGUCUAUUUAUCAGUAAGCCACUUAAUAUUUUGUAUGUGACUCAUCAUUAUGACAUUAUCUAUGUCUUUAUUUCUGCA